rnacentral:misc_RNA from 1 species
CGACGUCCCACGGCAUGGUUCCGCAAGACGACGCCGGCAACGGGCGCUGCUUGGGCGCGGCGAGGCGCGACGAGGGCGUGCCGAGCGAGAGCGUGCAGUCGACGGAGCCCGUGGAGGAGGAGGACGGGGAUGGAGGGGUGGCGAUGACGGCGCUGUUGCUGUCGUCGUCGUCGAACCAGUCCGCCGGCGCGUAUUGAUGAGCCUUGGUGCUGCAGGGCAGCGGGGAGAAGAGCGAGAAGGUGGUGGACGGCAUGGUGGCGGGGGCGAGGGCAGUGGCCGGGAUGCUCUGGCGAUGGCGAUGGCGCUGGUGCUGCUGCUGGGUGGUGGUGUUGCAGUGGCGGAGCAUGGUCCGCAGUGCUGGGUUUUAAAGCGAGGCGGCGGCGCCGAGGAGGAGAGAAGAUCCGGAACUGAACUUCGGUGCGAGGAUGUGG